rnacentral:rRNA from 1 species
UACAGAGGUCCCGAGCGUUGUUCGGAUUCGCUGGGCGUAAAGGGUGCGUAGGUGGCAUGGUAAGUUUGAUGUGAAAGCUCAGGGCUCAACCCUGAAAUGGCAUUGAAUACUACUGUGCUGGAGGUUUGGAGGGGGGACUGGAAUUCUUGGUGUAGCAGUGAAAUGCGUAGAUAUCAAGAGGAACACCAGUGGCGAAGGCGAGUCCCUGGACAACACCUGACACUGAGGCACGAAAGCUAGGGGAGCAAACAGG